rnacentral:rRNA from 1 species
UCUGAACUGGGUGACUAGAGUGUGUCAGAGGGAGGUAGAAUUCCACGUGUAGCAGUGAAAUGCGUAGAGAUGUGGAGGAAUACCGAUGGCGAAGGCAGCCUCCUGGGAUAACACUGACGUUCAUGCUCGAAAGCGUGGGUAGCAAACAGGAUUAGAUACCCUGGUAGUCCACGCCCUAAACGAUGUCAAUUAGCUGUUGGGCAACUUGAUUGCUUAGUAGCGUAGCUAACGCGUGAAAUUGACCGCCUGGGGAGUACGGUCGCAAGAUUAAAACUCAAAGGAAUUGACGGGGACCCGCACAAGCGGUGGAUGAUGUGGAUUAAUUCGAUGCAACGCGAAGAACCUUACCUGGCCUUGACAUGUACGGAAUCCUCCAGAGACGGAGGAGUGCCUUCGGGAGCCGUAACACAGGUGCUGCAUGGCUGUCGUCAGCUCGUGUCGUGAGAUGUUGGGUUAAGUCCCGCAACGAGCGCAACCCUUGUCAUUAGUUGCCAUCAUUUAGUUGGGCACUCUAAUGAGACUGCCGGUGACAAGCCGGAGGAAGGUGGGGAUGACGUCAAGUCCUCAUGGCCCUUAUGACCAGGGCUUCACACGUCAUACAAUGGUCGGUACAGAGGGUAGCCAAGCCGCGAGGUGGAGCCAAUCUCACAAAACCGAUCGUAGUCCGGAUUGCACUCUGCAACUCGAGUGCAUGAAGUCGGAAUCGCUAGUAAUCGCAGGUCAGCAUACUGCGGUGAAUACGUUCCCGGGUCUUGUACACACCGCCCGUCACACCAUGGGAGUGGGGGAUACCAGAAGUAGGUAGGGUAACCGCAAGGAGCCCGCUUA